rnacentral:rRNA from 1 species
UACAGAGGUCCCAAGCGUUGUUCGGAUUCACUGGGCGUAAAGGGUGCGUAGGUGGUAAGGUAAGUCUGAUGUGAAAGCUCAGAGCUCAACUCUGAAAUGGCAUUGGGUACUAUCUUGCUAGAGGUUUGGAGGGGGGACUGGAAUUCUUGGUGUAGCAGUGAAAUGCGUAGAUAUCAAGAGGAACACCAGUGGCGAAGGCGAGUCCCUGGACAAACCCUGACACUGAGGCACGAAAGCCAAGGGAGCAAACAGG